rnacentral:rRNA from 1 species
CUGUGUAGGAUAGACCUCUGAACAGUACGCAACGAACGCGAUCGUAAUCCCUUGUUGAGUGGCCAUCCUGUAAGCUGCUGGAUUAGGAACCCAGUGGUAUUAUCUCAGCCACAGAUUUUCUGGUUGUAAUGGGCCAGUUUUGAAACUCGGGGAACAUCUGUGACUUUCUUUCUUAACGCAGAGGAAGGUUAUGGCAAUAACAGGUCUGUGAUGCCCUUAGAUGUCCAGGGCUGCACACGUACUACAUUGAUCAACUCAGUAGGCGUCGUGUUUUCUCCAAUAACGUAUCUAGUGGACUUGGUGUCGGGUGCGUGGCCUCGGUC